AGGGUUUGAUCCUGGCUCAGAAUGAACGUUGGCGGCGUGGAUUAGGCAUGCAAGUCGUACGCACAGCAAUGUGAGUGGCGCAAGGGUGAGUAAUGAGAAGGUAACCAACCCUGAAGUUGGGCAUAGCCGCGGGAAACUGCGGGUAAUACCCAGCGACGUCACGAGGUGGCAUCAUCUUGUGACCAAAGGUGUGAUUCCGCUUUAGGACGGGCCUUCUUGGUAUUAGGUAGUUGGUAGGGUAACGGCCUACCAAGCCUACGAUGCCUACCGGGUGUGAGAGCAUGACCCGGCACACUGGAACUGAGACACUGUCCAGACACCUACGGGUGGCUGCAGUCGAGAAUCUUCGGCAAUGGGCGAAAGCCUGACCGAGCGACGCCGCGUGAGGGAUUGAAGGCCUUCGGGUUGUAAACCUCUUUCGUAGAGGAGGAAGGGGCCGUGCAGAGCGGUCUUUGACCUAUUCUAGGAAGAAGCUUGGGCUAAGUUCGUGCCAGCAGCCGCGGUAAGACGAACCAAGCGAACGUUAUUCGGAAUUACUGGGCUUAAAGCGCGUGUAGGCGGAUGACCACGUCAGUCGUUGAAAUCCCCCGGCUCAACCGGGGAACAGGCGCUGAUACGAGUUGUCUUGAGGUGGGUAGGGGAGACUGGAACUUCCGGUGGAGCGGUGAAAUGCGUUGAGAUCGGAAGGAACGCCCGCGGCGAAAGCGAGUCUCUGGACCCAUUCUGACGCUGAGACGCGAAAGCCAGGGGAGCAAACGGGAUUAGAUACCCCGGUAGUCCUGGCUGUAAACAUUGGGCACAAUAUCGUGACUGGGAAACAGAUCGGAAGAGCACACGUCUGAACUCCAGUCACCGGCUAUGAU
rnacentral:rRNA from 1 species